rnacentral:sRNA from 1 species
UCGCGUCAAGCGCCGUAGGCAGGAGCGGGGGACCCAAGGUAAGCGCCGGUUCCCAGCAGUUGGGGCUGCUGGAUCCGGCUUGGGGUGAAGCCACGCCUUCCGUGCGGAAGGGGUGGCCGGGCAACUCAACCGGCCCGAACCCGACAGCUCACCUCGCAGGCGUCGGUGAGGGGAUCC